GGUGCCCAGGUCAGAUCCACUGUGAUCUCCUCUCCGCCCGCCCCCUCAGGCAGGGUGGGGGCCAGGGCAGGGCAGGGCAGGGCGUGGAACUGCUGACCAGCUUUCGUAUAGAGGCCCCGAGGCUAAGCAGGUCCUGCCCCUCCUCACCAGCACAUGGAAGUGUAGCCGCUCACAAGUGACAUUCCCCACAGUGAGCCGGAGCCGCCGGGGGGCCAGCCUCUGGCCAGCGCCGUCAAAAGCUGCCCGGGCUCCAGCUGUCCACUCGUCCAGUGAUGCUGUGAACCGCACCCAUGCUGAGCCGUCCACUUUGCCUGAAACAGGACCACUCACCUGAGCAGGAUGGCCGCCCCUUGGGCACCCACAGCCACAUCCACCAGGUCAUCUCCAUCCAGAUCUAACCGGCCAUCUACACUUCGGC